GUAGUUUGAUCUUGGCUCAGGAUGAACGCCGGCGGUGUGCCUAAUACAUGCAAGUCGAGCGCACUGGCCCAACUGAUAUGACGUGCUUGCACUGAAUUGACGUUGGAUUACCAGUGAGCGGCGGACGGGUGAGUAACACGUGGGCAACCUGCCCUGAAGCGGGGGAUAACAUCUGGAAACAAGUGCUAAUACCGCAUAACAACGAAACCACAUGGUUUUCGUUUCAAAGAUGGUUUCGGCUAUCACUUCAGGAUGGGCCCGCGGUGCAUUAGCUAGUGUAGUACGGCUACCAGGCAAUGAUGCAUAGCCGAGUUGAGAGACUGAUCGGCCAC
rnacentral:rRNA from 1 species